GAUGAAGAACGCAGCGAAAUGCGAUAAGUAAUGUGAAUUGCAGAAUUCAGUGAACCAUCGAAUCUUUGAACGCACAUUGCGCCCGGCAGUAAUCUGCCGGGCAUGCCUGUCCGAGCGUCAUUUCUGCCCUCGAGCGAGUCCAGCAUCUAGGUGCUGGGCCCGCCCGGCGUUGGGGCACUACGGGAAGCCCUGUGCUGUCCCCCGUAGGCCCCGAAAUGAAGUGGCGGUCCUGCCGCGGCGCCCCCUGCGUAGUAUAACAGCUCGCUUCGGGACCCGGUGGAGGCCUGCCGUCAAACCUUACUCUCUAAGUUUGACCUCGGACCAGGUAGGGUUACCCGCUGAACUUAAGCAUAUCAAUAAGCGGAGGA
rnacentral:misc_RNA from 1 species